CCUACGGGAGGCUGCAGUGAGGAAUAUUGGUCAAUGGGCGCGAGCCUGAACCAGCCAAGUCGCGUGAGGGAAGACGGUCCUGUGGAUUGUAAACCUCUUUUGUCGGGGAGCAAAAGCCGCCACGCGUGGCGUUCCGAGUGUACCCGAAGAAAAAGCAUCGGCUAACUCCGUGCCAGCAGCCGCGGUAAUACGGAGGAUCCGAGCGUUAUCCGGAUUUAUUGGGUUUAAAGGGAGCGUAGAUGGGUUGUUAAGUCAGUUGUGAAAGGUGGGGGCUCAACCGUAAAAUUGCAAUUGAUACUGGCAGUCUUGAGUACAGGUGAGGUAGGCGGAAUGCGUGGUGUAGCGGUGAAAUGCAUAGAUAUCACGAAGAACCCCGAUUGCGAAGGCAGCUUACUAAACUGUGACUGACGUUGAGGCACGAAAGUGUGGGUAUCAAACAGGAUUAGAUACCCGUGUAGUC
rnacentral:rRNA from 1 species